rnacentral:lncRNA from 1 species
UUAGAGCACUUCCGGUGUGCGCAUUGUGUGUGCGCACUGUAUAUGCGCAAAAUGUCUGCGCAGUGCGUCUGAAAUCAGCUGUAGCGACCGAGAUUGACGAAGAAAUACAAGUUUCGAGGAUGCGGAUUAUCGUAAAUCGAACGGGUACGAGAUGGACAUGGAGACGAAGCUGAGCAAUUUUCUCUCAAUGACACCAAUGAUCUUGUAAAUCUUGGACCGUGCUUGCAACGAUCUUGCGAACGAUUCAUGUUACUCGGCUAGGCGUACCAUCACUUGUCGCAUUUACAAGGUAAAUAAACUGUGUAGCUGUAGCUGUGUAGCUU